AUUGAACGCUGGCGGCAGGCCUAACACAUGCAAGUCGAGCGAGCGGCGGACGGGUGAGUAAUGUAUGGGGACUGCCCGAUAGAGGGGGAUAACUACUGGAAACGGUAGCUAAUACUGCAUACUAUCGGAUAACCCAUAUGGGAUUAGCUAGUAGGUGAGUUAAUGGCUCACCUAGGCGAAGAUCCCUAGCUGGUCUGAGAGGAGGAUCAGCCACACUGGGACGGGGACACGGCCCAGACUCCUCCGGAGGCAGCAGUAGGGAAUAUUGCACAAUGGGCGCAAGCCUGAUGCAGCAAUGCCGCGUGUAUGAAGAAGGCCCUAGGGUUGUAAAGUGCUUUCAGUCGGGAGGCGUUACCGACAGAAGAAGCACCGGCUAACUCCGUGCCAGCAGCCGCGGUAAUAC
rnacentral:rRNA from 1 species